rnacentral:tRNA from 1 species
AGGUGUAGCGCAGUUGGUAGCGCGCCUGCUUUGGGAGCAGGAUGUCGCAGGUUCGAAUCCUGUCACCU